UAGGCAGGAUCUGUAAAGAGAGGAAGCUGGUAGGCUGCAGGGAGGAAAACCUGAAGUCAUACUUCCAAGGGGGAAGAACAGGCAGCUGUAAGGGCAGGGUAGGAAGCAGUCCAGGGAAGGGGCAGUAAGGGUUAGGAGAAUAAAAGCCCAGAGAUGCUUGGCAGUGGGUUCCUGGGCUGGAACCUAGGGUAGAGGGUGGGCAGGCUGGACUCCCCUACCCUACCCUACCACACCACUUGCUGCUGGAGUGACACACUAGGGAUAGCCCAUUUGGGGGUAGCUGGAAGCAGACUUUGAUGAUACCUGGAAGGGAGGAGAACCUUAAUGUGACUUAGCCAGAGGGUUAAGCCAUGAAGAGGAAACGGUUGCAGGUCCUGAAAUGAAGGCCACGGAGUAAGUGAGUAGACUGAUGGACUGAGUCACUUCAGGGAGGGGCCAGAUGGCAGAGCUAAUUGCCUGGAUGAGCCACAAGGAAGUGCUGCUGAAUGGUACUUCUUGUUGUUGUGACCACUUAAACGUCUGCAUUUAGUGGAACAUGUAAGAAGUCGUCUCUUUUGGAAGUAGUUUAGAUGAGAAACGAGCCAGUAGAAGAUGCUCCUUCUUCAAGCCAGGAUCACUCCCCAAGGGCUGGACUCAAGGCUGCAAUACCACUAAAUGCAAAAAGGUGAACUGCUGUUUAGAGGAGACUGUAAUCAGGACCCUUUGUGGAUGGACACAGAUAUAAAAGUGAAUACUUCAGAACUGUUCAGCCCAUCACGAACAAAUACUGCUUUCUUCCAGAGUAAUCCAGUGUAAAGGCAAGAGUUCAGUUUCCUUUAUGCACCAGCUGCAGUGAAACUGAUCUAAGCUGACUUGUGUCUAUUUAGCCAUCCUGAGCCUAGGAGGCAGUGGUUCCAGCUUACAGGUGUGAAUUCCCACUCAGUUCCCUUUAAAAGGGGGGCUUUCACACUGGGGCAGGCUUGGAAAGAAAGCAUUUAAACAAAAGUGCAAUUUACUUUGCCUUCCGUGGUCUGUCUGUCUGUCCCUCGCUGUUCCUUCCGCGUCCUCAACAUAUCUGUUGUUUGAAUAAGUUCCUCUCUGCAUCUUUCAGUCCUUCACCUGCCUCUUUCCUCCUCCAGAGGAGUCAUAAAACUACAUUUAUGGGGCUAUAUUUCCAAAAUGUAGAAGCCAAGUUCUUCAAGCAAAAAAACUACCAUGUAAUAAAUCCCCACCCCCACCCCAA